CAGUUAUGAGCAUUCAAUGCAUGACACAGUUUUAUGAUUUGAUACAAAGAAAUUCGCAAAAACGAAGAAUAAAACCCAUAGUAAAGGAACAAAUAGAUAAAAAGU